GACGAGGUGCUGAGGAGAAAAAUACAAAUAAAUGGAGCUGUGCGCCGUGCCAUAGUGGACAAGCUCUUUGCCGCAUACAUCAAGAUCGCAUGGUACCCGUCCAGGCAGCUCUAUCGGGUAGCUGCUGAGAGAUUGGUCACCGCUCAUCCACACCUUGCAGAUAGGGUCGGUUGCAGCCUGGAAUCAUGGGUGAUGGCCCUGAGGAACAAGUUCCAACAACACAGGAAAAAAGCUACAAAACUGCUUGGAGGAAAUGCUAAUUCAAAAGAAAUGCUGUCUGCCAAAGCAAAUGCAGGCACCAUCUGAAGAAGUGGCAAACAACAAAUUGUGCCGUCUUUUUGACUGCAGCCAUCUUACUACAUAUGGAGAAACCGUUGAGUCCUUGCAAAUUCAUAACGAAAGGCUCCAGAAUAAUGCAGCCUGCCACGAUGAAGCAACAGGAAGGCCAAGGUUGCGGGCAACAGCACUGGACAGGCUUAAAGAGCUUCGCAGCCUCACCCUGUCGGAUGCUCUUUUACUGUUUCCAUUUCUUGGAACUGAGGCAUUGGAACAAGCCCUGCUCACACCUUGCCUUGUGGAGAAAGGACUUACUCUACACAUUGACGGGGAGCCCGUUUUGAGUGUGCCAUCACUUCUUGCAGGAAUGGCGUGCCUGUUUGCAUCGUUUUGGGUAUUCCAUGUGGAAUACCCAAAAAAAGGCACACAAAAUGCUCACAUUCUUUGAGCACGCGUUCCUACACCUUUCACGCAUGAAG
rnacentral:misc_RNA from 1 species